AAAAUACAAAACAAUUUUGAAAGCAGCCAAAGGGAAAUGAAAGAGAAACUACCAAAUGAAUGAUUGUAGAUUUCGCAUCAGGAACCAUAGGGGCCAGAAAAAAUGUCAUAACAUUCGGAAGACUGCUGGAAAAGAAUUAGCAAAGAUUUGAGAUAAGAAAAAUGAUACCAGAAGGAAACUUAGAACAUCAUCAGUGAAGGAACAAAAGCAGAAAUAGAACAUGUCUGGGUAGACAUAACAGACUAUUAUUCUUCCCUUGAGUUCCUUAAGGAGACUACGGAAAAGAAGAGUGACUAAGAU
rnacentral:lncRNA from 10 species